rnacentral:pre_miRNA from 1 species
UUCCCGUCACUGCGACAAGCAGGUCGAUUCCCUACUUGUCGCAGUGACGGGAAUGA